ACCGCAGGUCUGGGCAGCCUACUGGGAGCUCCCCAGCCUCCGCAGCCAAUCUUAUACCCAGCCAGUGCGCUUCAGUUUCGUUUUUCGUAUCAGGAGCGGUUAAGUUUCAGUUUCCGUUUACAUGUGCGUAUGUCAAUCAAGGAUGUUUCCUCAAGAACCCCAGAGCCAAGACUUUUCAAACGUAAUCCUCAAGGAAGAUCACACCCUGCCUACCAGCUUCCUGGAAGGCCAUGAGCAUUACUUCAGGUGGGUUUGGACCAAUUGAUGCGUUCAGAUGACCGCCCGCAAGCUUUUAAGACCCCAGACGCCACGCACCAAGAAGAAAGGCAGAGGGAGAUUUGAUCCCACAAGGUGAUAUGACCAUAGGAGCUGAAGGAGAUUUGAAGAUGCUAGGUUGCUGCCUUUGAGGAUGGAGGAAGAGGCCAUUAUCCAGGAAUGCGGCUCUGGAAGCCAGAACUUGCAAGGAAAAGAUUCUCCCUGGCAGUGUCCAGAGAGAAGGUGGCCAUGGGACGCCUUGAUUUCAACCCAGUGAUAGUGAUCUCAGACUUCUUUCUUCCAGAGCUGUGAAAGAAUAAGUUUCAGUUUUUUAGGCCACCAAGCUUGUGAUAAUUUGCUACACAGUCAUACGAAGCUAAUAUACCUGUGCUUUAUCAAUUUCUCCCUCUAUACUAAUAAACUGCUAAUACAACCAAAAACCCAAACCCGUUACCGUCGAGUCUAUUCUGACUGAUAGCAACCCUAUAAGACAGAGCAGAACUGCCCUGUAGAGUUUCCAAGGAGCAGCUGGUGAAAUCAAACUGCCAACGUUUUGGUUAGCAGCCAAGCACCCAAGCUCUUAACCAUUGCUCCACUAGGGCUCCAAGCCUGCUAUUAAUUCCCCCAUUUAAAAAAAAAUCCUCCCUUGAUCUUGUAAAUGACCUCAACCCUCACUCCAUAUUUCUACUUCCUUUUAUAUUAAAACUACUGAAUAUUACAGUCUUCUUUACUUCCUCAUCUCCCCAUCUUUCCUCAACCUACUCCAUCACACUUUUAUCUUGAUCACUCCCUUGUGAAAUUGUACUUGUCAGGGAAACUAGCAGUCUCCCACAUUGCUACAUCUAUUCUCACUAUACUCUAACUUCUACGUAGUUGAUUGUUGUUGUUGUUGUUGUUAGGUGCCAUCGAGUCAAUUCCGACUCAGAACGAAACACUGCCUGGUCCUGCGGCAUGCUCACAAUCAUUGUUAAGCUUGAGCGCAUUGUUGCAGCCACUGUGUCAAUCCAUCUCACUGAGGUCUUCUUCUUUUCCACUGACCCUGUACUUUACCAAGCAUGAUGUUCUUCUUCACAGAUUGAUUCCUC